ACGCACGCUGGCGGCGUGCUUAACCCAUGCACGUCGCACGGAAAGGCCCUGCUUUUGUGGGGUGCUCGAGUGGCGAACGGGUGAGUAACACGUGAGUAACCUGCCCUUGACUUUGGGAUAACUUCAGGAAACUGGGGCUAAUACCGGAUAGGAGCUCCUGCUGCAUGGUGGGGGUUGGAAAGUUUCGGCGGUUGGGGAUGGACUCGCGGCUUAUCAGCUUGUUGGUGGGGUAGUGGCUUACCAAGGCUUUGACGGGUAGCCGGCCUGAGAGGGUGACCGGCCACAUUGGGACUGAGAUACGGCCCAGACUCCUACGGGAGGCAGCAGUGGGGAAUAUUGCACAAUGGGCGGAAGCCUGAUGCAGCAACGCCGCGUGCGGGAUGACGGCCUUCGGGUUGUAAACCGCUUUCGCCUGUGACGAAGCGUGAGUGACGGUAAUGGGUAAAGAAGCACCGGCUAACUACGUG
rnacentral:rRNA from 1 species